rnacentral:rRNA from 2 species
UGCAGUCGAGCGAUGGAUUAAGAGCUUGCUCUUAUGAAGUUAGCGGCGGACGGGUGAGUAACACGUGGGUAACCUGCCCAUAAGACUGGGAUAACUCCGGGAAACCGGGGCUAAUACCGGAUAACAUUUUGAACCGCAUGGUUCGAAAUUGAAAGGCGGCUUCGGCUGUCACUUAUGGAUGGACCCGCGUCGCAUUAGCUAGUUGGUGAGGUAACGGCUCACCAAGGCAACGAUGCGUAGCCGACCUGAGAGGGUGAUCGGCCACACUGGGACUGAGACACGGCCCAGACUCCUACGGGAGGCAGCAGUAGGGAAUCUUCCGCAAUGGACGAAAGUCUGACGGAGCAACGCCGCGUGAGUGAUGAAGGCUUUCGGGUCGUAAAACUCUGUUGUUAGGGAAGAACAAGUGCUAGUUGAAUAAGCUGGCACCUUGACGGUACCUAACCAGAAAGCCACGGCUAACUACGUGCCAGCAGCCGCGGUAAUACGUAGGUGGCAAGCGUUAUCCGGAAUUAUUGGGCGUAAAGCGCGCGCAGGUGGUUUCUUAAGUCUGAUGUGAAAGCCCACGGCUCAACCGUGGAGGGUCAUUGGAAACUGGGAGACUUGAGUGCAGAAGAGGAAAGUGGAAUUCCAUGUGUAGCGGUGAAAUGCGUAGAGAUAUGGAGGAACACCAGUGGCGAAAGCGACUUUCUGGUCUGUAACUGACACUGAGGCGCG